AAAGGAUUAUUUUGAUAGAAUAAAGCAUGUAUUUACAUAUACUUUCAUUAC
rnacentral:tRNA from 1 species